AGCACAUGUACCAUCUUCCUGUUGCGUACUAUGAGACUGCAUGGCCUUUCUUGUCUCUGUUUCCUCAGAUUGCAAGCACAGCGACAUAGUAGUGUCGUAAUGCAUCAUCACAUGCUAUCUUUGGUAUAUUCUAGAAUUUUAUCACGAGGCAUUGAUCCCACACCUGAGAUUUGCCUCCAUUUGAGACUCAGAAUUUUGCAGCUGUUUUCUCAAUGCAGGAAGAGGUCAUUAUUAGAAUGAAGUGAAGAAAGGAAGGCAUGAAGGGGAAAUGGGACUGUUUACGGAGCACAUCUACACAAAGGAGACAGGGGGAAGUGCUGUGCUCUUCAGUGUCUUUGUAGCAUAAAUCACUGAGGCAGAGGAAUUUUUGACAGCUUUCCCUAAGUGCUCGCUUCAAGGGUGAGACCAAAUGUGAGUUGACGUCACAUUAGUGGUUCUUUUCACAUAAUAUAACUAACAUCUAAUCUUAGUUCUUAACAC
rnacentral:lncRNA from 1 species